rnacentral:rRNA from 1 species
AUUGAACGCUGGCGGCAGGCCUAACACAUGCAAGUCGAACGAGUGGCGGACGGGUGAGUAAUGUCUGGGAAACUGCCCGAUGGAGGGGGAUAACUACUGGAAACGGUAGCUAAUACCGCAUACCAUCGGAUGUGCCCAGAUGGGAUUAGCUAGUCGGUGGGGUAAAGGCUCACCUAGGCGACGAUCCCUAGCUGGUCUGAGAGGAUGAACAGCCACACUUGAACUGAGACACGGUCCAGACUCCUACGUGAGGCAGCAGUGGGGAAUAUUGCACAAUGGUCGCAAGCCUGAGGCAGCCAUGCCGCGUGUAUGAAGAAGGCCUUCGGGUUGUAAAGUACUUUCAGCGAGGAGGCGUUACCCGCAGAAGAAGCACCGGCUAACUCCGUGCCAGCCGCCGCGGUAAUUC